rnacentral:rRNA from 1 species
UACGGGGGGGGCAAGCGUUGUUCGGAAUUACUGGGCGUAAAGGGCUUGUAGGUGGCCAACUAAGUCAGACGUGAAAUCCCUCGGCUUAACCGGGGAACUGCGUCUGAUACUGGAUGGCUUGAGUGUGGGAGAGGGAUGCGGAAUUCCAGGUGUAGCGGUGAAAUGCGUAGAUAUCUGGAGGAACACCGGUGGCGAAGGCGGCAUCCUGGACCAUUACUGACGCUGAGGCGCGAAAGCUAGGGGAGCAAACGGG